UACAGAGGGGCGAGCGUUGUUCGGAAUUACUGGGCGUAAAGGGCGCGUAGGGCGGUCCGGUAAGUCCGCUGUGAAAGUCGGGGGCUCAACCCUGGGAUGCCGGUGGAUACUGUCGGCUCGAGUCCGGAAGAGGAGUGUGGGAAUUCCUGGUGUAGCGGUGAAAUGCGCAGAGUAUCAGGAGGAACAACCAAUGGCGAAGGCAGGCACUCUGGGAACGUGACUGACGCUGAGACGCGAAAGCGUGGGGAGCAAACAGG
rnacentral:rRNA from 1 species